GGGCUAUUAGCUCAGUUGGUUAGAGCACACCCCUGAUAAGGGUGAGGUCCCUGGUUCAAAUCCUGGAUAGCCCA
rnacentral:tRNA from 1 species